UAGCUCCAGCAUUUGAAUUAAAAUUUAUUCUUGAAUCUUUAAUUUAAUGCGACAAUAGGGAUUUCAUUAAAUCAAAAAAUAAGAUAUCUCACAUAUAUCCUAAUUUAUAAGUAAUUAAAUACACACUUUAUUUUUUUUUAAUCAAUUUAAAUAAUUAAAGGGGUUAAUUUAUUUAAUUCAUUUAUAUUCUAUAUAUUAAUUUUAUAAAAUAAAUUUUUUCAAAUAUUUUAAAAUAUCCCAGAAGAGCAGAAAAUUUAUCUAAAUUCAUAAAAAUGAAUUUCAAAUUAAAAUUAAUAAUUAAAUUAACUCUGUCAUAUAUAAAGUAAAUUAGAAAGUACGCUCUAAAAUUAAUUUUUAGUUUAAUAAUACGAUGGAAACAUGUCAAUUCAAUGACGUCGUUAAAUUUUUAAGUAACUCGUCUAACCUGAAUUUUAAUCUAAGUUAUUCUG
rnacentral:rRNA from 1 species